AACGAACGCUGGCGGCAGGCUUAACACAUGCAAGUCGAACGGGUGUAGCAAUACAUCAGUGGCAGACGGGUGAGUAACACGUGGGAACCUUCCUCGUUGUACGGGACAACUCAGGGAAACUUGAGCUAAUACCGUAUACGUCCGAGAGGAGAAAGAUUUAUCGCAAUGAUACGGGCCCGCGUCGGAUUAGCUAGUUGGUGGGGUAACGGCCUACCAAGGCGACGAUCCGUAGCUGAUCUGAGGGGAUGAUCAGCCACACUGGGACUGAGACACGGCCCAGACUCCUACGGGAGGCAGCAGUGGGGAAUCUUGGACAAUGGGCGCAAGCCUGAUCCAGCCAUGCCGCGUGAGCGAAGAAGGCCUUAGGGUUGUAAAGCUCUUCUGCCA
rnacentral:rRNA from 1 species